rnacentral:tRNA from 1 species
GCCGAGGUGGCGGAACUGGAAGACGCAGGGGACUCAAAAUCCUCUGGGCCCUAAAGCCCGUGCGGGUUCGAAUCCCGCCCUCGGCACCA